rnacentral:rRNA from 1 species
AUUGAACGCUGGCGGCAUGCUUUACACAUGCAAGUCGAACGGCAGCGCGGGGCAACCUGGCGGCGAGUGGCGAACGGGUGAGUAAUAUAUCGGAACGUACCCAAGAGUGGGGGAUAACGUAGCGAAAGUUACGCUAAUACCGCAUACGAUCUAUGGAUGAAAGCAGGGGACCGCAAGGCCUUGUGCUCCUGGAGCGGCCGAUAUCUGAUUAGCUAGUUGGUGAGGUAAAGGCUCACCAAGGCGACGAUCAGUAGCUGGUCUGAGAGGACGACCAGCCACACUGGAACUGAGACACGGUCCAGACUCCUACGGGAGGCAGCAGUGGGGAAUUUUGGACAAUGGGCGCAAGCCUGAUCCAGCAAUGCCGCGUGAGUGAAGAAGGCCUUCGGGUUGUAAAGCUCUUUUGUCAGGGAAGAAACGGGUGGGGCUAAUAUCCCUAUCUAAUGACGGUACCUGAAGAAUAAGCACCGGCUAACUACGUGC